rnacentral:rRNA from 1 species
GACAGAGGGGGCAAGCGUUGCUCGGAAUUACUGGGCGUAAAGGGCGCGUAGGCGGCCCGCUAAGUCGAACGUGAAAUCCCCGGGCUUAACCCGGGAACUGCGUCCGAUACUGGACGGCUCGAGACCGGAAGAGGUGAGUGGAACUGCGAGUGUAGAGGUGAAAUUCGUAGAUAUUCGCAAGAACACCAGUGGCGAAGGCGGCUCACUGGUCCGGUUCUGACGCUGAGGCGCGAAAGCGUGGGGAGCAAACAGG